rnacentral:lncRNA from 1 species
ACAAGGUUCUCCAGCUCCACUUUGGGAAAUUCAUUGAUCCUGCCUGGGGACAGAACAAGACUUGAGUUGCUCAUGAGUAGAAACAUGGGUUUCUUGCUCAGAAGAGGGAAUGUCACAGCACUCAAAAGAUCCCAGGCUGCCACUUCCAGUUUAGGAAACCUCCAGUCACAAGAUGGUAACUGAGGCCGAAGGGGACCAAUACCUAACAAGCAAGACUGACCCCUAAAUUGCCAAUGGAGCACCUAGCCUAAAGACUGAAGCCAAAUCAGCUAAAUUUUCAGAAUCAAAGAUUCUGGCUGAUGUGUAUCAAGGAAGCCACUUUUCAUGGCAGACCUGAAGUCCUGAAACAUCCAUGAUGUCACCUUUCUCUACUGAUCUGCCUACCAGUACACGGCGGCGCGCUAUUAGCUCUGUAAUGUUUUAGCUUAAUUCUCCCACAUGUGGGCUGCAAUUCCAGCCAAAACAAACUCAGCAGGAGAUUUCACAGCCACUGAAUUGCUCAAGGUGCUCCAGGCUCCAUGACAUGGGGAGAUCAGGUUGGGAUGCAAAAGUUAUGAACAAAAAGAUAAACAGAAUGAAAAGGCAUGGGGUGGUGGGAUUUAGGGUUUGACUGGUGUGCAAAGCUUUCAGUUUUCCAAUUGGUAAUUUGAUUCUCUGGUUUGCCUUGGAGAUUUGCAGUGUUUUUCUGGCAUAUGUGAUGGAAGAAAGCACCCUGUUCCAUUCCGGGUAGUGAACCAUGGAGACCUUCUCAUUAAAUUACAAAGAAGAAUUUUAGGAUAUGAGAUCAUGAAAAAGAAUAGAAUUUGAAAACACACACAAACACAUAACUAGGCCAGCACAGGAAGAAUUUGUGGUGAAGCCAUUUUUCCCAUUGCAGAUAACUCUCUAAUCCUUUGGAUCCCAGAGUCCUGCACACACACGUGCACGUGCACACACAUGCACAUGUGCACACACACACACACAGUGUGAAGAGAAGGGUCUACAGCUGUCACUAUAAAGCCAGGCUGCACCAUAGGUUGAACCAAGAAGGUCUAGUGACAUUCAGUUAGUGAUCCUUACCUCUCAGUAUAUGAUCUUGAAGCUCUUCAUUUGAGAUCAUUCUGUCUAGCUCUUUUCUCCCUAUCACCCUCAUAACAUAACCCUCACCCCCAGGCCUUCAGAAUUGAAAAAACAAUAAGUCUGAGUAAUCACACCAUGAGACUAUUUAUGAUUAUUAGGGGGAAAGGAGGUGGGGAUUAAAGUGCUGUGCCAAUUAAAAGCAACAAUUCUUGCUGCUUCUCCCAAAUUCUUCACAAAAGUCAUAUGGAUGAUGGGACAUUUCUGAGUUUACCCCAGCCAAACUCUGAGAUGGAAAAGUAUUUGUUUUGUAUGGGCAAAGCUAUUUGUUCUUUUUUUCUUCUUUCUCUCUCUCCACUGUGGGAAAACGAAUUUAUUUUCAGUCACCCCUGACAUCUGACCACUCAGCUGAUCACAAGGACACUGUGGUAAGCCACAACUCAACUUGAAAUUAUCUCUUAGGCACAGUUCCUGUACUUUGGAUGGCACCAUCUCUAGCUCUCAGCUUGGCUUUCCUCUAUGAAGGUUCCAUUUUCCCUUUCUUUUCUCUACUCAGAGUGAGUGGUCUUGCGCUUAUCUUCCAACCGGGCUUGUCCUCAAAACAAACUAAGCAUGAAAAUGACACCAGUUUUCCUAGUCAAAGCCUCAAAAGUGGCCCAUUUAUAUAUGGUAUCUUUCUUCUAAAACAAAAGGAAAAAGAAAACGAGAUGAAAUCUUUGGAAUCCUGCAAAGUAGGUGGGGGAGCCAACUCUCUUGAUUAGUCUCAAGAUGAUUCAGCAGGGUUUAUACAUAUUCCUUCUGUUUGAAUCAUUUUGUUUUUGUAGCUGUUUUACACCUCCAGGAUCCUGCCAUCUGCCCACUCUAAAGAAAGACAGUAAAGCACUCCAAAUACAAUGGCUGGGAGGAAAAAAUUGUGAUCAAACUCAAGAGAUCAACUUUUCUUCACCCUUCUGGCUACUACUAUUCUUCCUGGAGAAAAGACAAUGUGGUGUGGCCCAGAGGUUCUUACUGUGGUGGGCUCACCUCUCAAUAAACCAUUCCUCUUCUGCCCUGUCAUGCCAUCAGGCUAAUGAGAGAGAACUUGGUGUACAGAUCUGUCUGCCCUCUUGGCUGAGGAAAGAAGAGAAGGGAUGUAGGCAGUGCCCUUGACAGUUAUAUCCUACUCAGAUCUGGUGUGUGUCACUGAAAUAUAGGUCAGCUUUUGCUGGACAACUCACAACAGCCUAGAAGCAUGUGGACCCCAGGCCAGGCCCAGUUCCUCCUGCUCACCCCAUACUCUCUUCCUGCCCAGUACAAGUUAACAAGCCCAACAAGCAUUGAGAGAGGCCUGCAGGACAGAAAAAAGCAGUCUUUCCAUUUUGCACACAAAUGUAAGGGAGCUCUAAAGUUAACAAAGGCUUCAUCAGUCCUGGGGUUGGUCCAAUGUGCGGGCUGAAGUUCAGCUGGCCUGACCAAAGGCAACUGCUAGCUAUUUGCACUUUCCGCAGGGACUGCUCCUCAACUCCUGAUUUAGAGAGUGGAGUGGACGGGUAAUGUGCAUGUAGUCACUGAGGACGAUUGGAGAAACAAAAUGAUUUUCAAUUACCAGGUGGUUCAGGUGGAGGCAGUGAGCAUAGAAAGUUUUCUUUCUGACAACAAAAUGAAGCGACAGCUGAAGAGCUUCUGGCCUUGAAGAGAGUUUAUCACUUUAAAGGGAUAUUGGCAAGUGCUUAGGGCUGAACACUAAGGUUUGGUUACUUCCCUUUCCCUCACAGUUCAUAGAGAGAUAAAGGUAUUAUAUGAAUUGGAUUUUUUCUUGUGAGUUAAAAAAACUGAUGCCCUGAUUUGGGGUAACAAGCAUGGCCAAGUUAGUACUGAGCAGAGAGAAAGUACUAGUCUAAGGCUUUGCCUUUGCAGAAAUGCAAAAAAAAUGCUCACAAAAAAACAUGUUCUAUUGAUUGUCCAAGGGUACCAAACUAUGCAUUCUCAAAAUGGAACUGAAGACUUCCAGGUUUCAGUAUCUAAUUGUCUUCUGACUAAAACAAUGAAAACAAAGUGGAAGAGCAGAGGAUGUUGUUUCAGGUAGAGUUUAGAAAGCAAGCAGAACUUCAAGGAGAACCUGAUUGUCUUUACUUAGGCUGAAUGCCUUGGCAAUAAUCUUAUAAAUGAGUUUAUCAUUUUUUCCCACCAUAUAAGUUAAACUUAGUGAGUAUCUGUUAUGUCCCUGGCACUGUGCAAAGCCUUUUUUUACACAUUAUAUAAUUUAGCCCUCCUAAGAACCUUAGAGGGUAGGUGUUGUUACCACUAUUUUACUUAUGAGACCUAAAAGAUUUUGUUUGAGGAGUAAGUUAGAACUGGAAUUCAAACUCAGCUUUCCUGACUCCCUUUUAAGUUUCACAACCAUUCAGCUGCCUUUUAUAAGUAGCAUUUUAUUUUAUAUAUUCAUACAAUUGUAAAGUAUAAGAAAAGCUAUAUGCUAAAACAAAAGUUUCUUUAAAUUACCUACUUACAAUGUUUUGCCCACACUUGAAGGCUAUAAAAUGUAUCUGGAUUGGUCAUAAAAUAUUAUCCACCAUCUAAUGAAAUAGUACAUGUGUUCAUGAGUAAACUCUCUAUAAGAAAGACAUAUAACUGGAUUAAAGUAUGACCUAGUACUUAAAAUGCAUUAGAAUUUCCAAACAUAAAAUUAUCUGGGCUUUGUAAGGAGAAAAUAUUGGCUUCAAAACUCAGAAAGUUAGAGAUAUUAACAAAUAGAUGAUUCAACGCUAAAUGCACAUUGACAAGGCAAGAAGAGAGAAGUUACUUCAGUCAGCUUCUUAACUGUAGGGGUUGGAUGCCAACAUUUCUUCAAACAGAGGAAAAGGUCAUAGUGUUAUCUUUUCUCUCUUUUUUUGCCUUUUCUGUUUGAAAAAGGAAAGAUUGGAGGUUAAGAGAAAUAAGGUAAAAGAUUUAGGACUAUAGAGAUGAAAAAGGUACUGCACUGUUCCACAAGGAUCCCAUGGUCUAGGAAGAGAAGCAGACAUAGACCCAAAACAAGAUGAGCAAUGAAAGAACAGGAAUAUUUGAGGCCCAAAACAGAGUACAGAAGGAAGUGAUUACCCAGAGAGACAGUAAGAAGGAAAGGGCCAGGAAAACUCUCCAAAAGGAGGAAAACUUGAAUUUAAAAACUGACCAAACGACUAAUGGAAGAAAUGAAGUCUAUACAAAAUCACAGAACAUAAAAUGGGCUGACAUUUUGGGGCCUAAGAGGAAUCUGAUAUAUUGGAGGACAGCAGGAAGGAACGCAUGUAGAGAAAUGAACUAGUGAAGUCCUGAAGAGUUAGAGCUCACAUGUAGUGUGGAGCCACUGACCAGUUUUAAAAGUAGAUUUGAGUUUCCAAAAAAUUACUCUUGCUGUCAAUCAUGAAUAGUUGGUAAUCUGAUUGACGAAAGGAAAGCUGGUUGUUUCAAAAAAGUCAUUGAAUAGACAAACUCUUGGCAUGAUUGAUGCUUUUAAGAGGCAGAAAUAAACAGCACAGGUAGAAAAAGUGACAUUGAAACAGACAAAGUAAAUAUUUUAAAAUUACAGGAGAGUCACAUGCACAAUAUUAGGACAAUAUAUUUGAAAUUUUCACCACAUUGAACAAUUUUUAGAAAGCAUAAAUAUGGAUAUUAACUGAAGAAAAAAUAUUGACAAUGAGAAGUAUGCUACAAAGUAAUACUAGCUCCAGAAGAUUUUGCAGACAAUUUUUUUCCAAAAAUUGUCUUUCCAAAGGAAAGAAAUAUUAAUCCUUAAUAUCACAGGGAAUAGAAAAGUGUUUUACAAGUAUUUACAGACCAUUGUAAUCCUGAUGCCAGAGCCAGGUGACAAUCAAUCUUACAUAUGGACAGAGAUGCAAAAAUACCAAAUAUUAGAAAGUUACUGUGU